CCAAAGAUCGUACGCUUUAACCAUCAACUUGAGGAUAAAAGAAUCAUAAUAACUGGCACUCCGACUGAAACAUUUACAAUCAACCUAAAGAAUUGGAAUCAACAUGCAAAUCAUUCAAAUUGUGGAGAUGGAAUCGUCGCUUUUCAUAUGAGUGUUAGGUUUUGGUAUUGGGAUAAGCAUGUAGUCUUUGAUUCUAAGCCCUUGGGUGAUUCGUGGAUAAUGAAUCGUCACCUCGGACGUUUUCCAUUUGCAAAGAAUGUUCAAUUUAAGUUACAAAUCACAAUACGCAAAAAUAGAUAUGAGCUUCUCUUUGGCGAUGGCAGUGUUCACAACUGGAAUCUCGCAAAUGAAAACGUAGAUAUGUUGUGCAUUGACGGUGAUCUGACAGUCCACAACAUUCUGACAACAUAAAAAUCACUGUAUUAACUUCAAGCACAGCGCAGGAGAGAGCCGCCUUUUAAAGAAAUUUAAACAUAAAAUCCUGACACGUUUUUAAAACGCUUCAGUGUGUUAAAUAAAUCAAUACUAGCAUAUAGUAUAAAGACCCUAUGUAAUGUCAUCUUUAAAAAAAAAAUUAAAAUGCAAUUGUUUUCUAAAAGCAUUCACCAGUUCCUUAUAAUCUUUCAACCGACGUUUCUUUCGUUUUAAGCAUUGACUGUGGAACAUCGCAUUAGAAAUCAUAUCACAGUGCAAAAGAAAGAAAUUUACACACUAAUAUUUAUUUAUUUAUAAAUUUAUUUAUUUAUAAAUUAUAUAAAUAUAUUUAUUUUAUUUAUUGAUCUAUUUUUUUAAAUUUAAACUG